rnacentral:rRNA from 1 species
UACGAAGGGGGCUAGCGUUGCUCGGAAUCACUGGGCGUAAAGCGCGCGUAGGCGGCUUCUUAAGUCAGGGGUGAAAUCCUGGAGCUCAACUCCAGAACUGCCUUUGAUACUGGGAAGCUUCGAGUCCGGAAGAGGUGAGUGGAACUGCGAGUGUAGAGGUGAAAUUCGUAGAUAUUCGCAAGAACACCAGUGGCGAAGGCGGCUCACUGGUCCGGUACUGACGCUGAGGUGCGAAAGCGUGGGGAGCAAACAGG